rnacentral:rRNA from 1 species
ACGAACGCUGGCGGUGUGCUUAACACCUGCAAGUCGAACGGUAAGGCCCUUUCGGGGGUACACGAGUGGCGAACGGGUGAGUAACACGUGAGUAACCUGCCCUCAUCUCUGGGAUAACAGUCGGAAACGGUUGCUAAUACUGGAUAUGAGCUUGCAAGGCAUCUUGUGGGUUGGAAAGAUUUUUUUUGGUUGGGGAUGGACUCGCGGCCUAUCAGCUUGUUGGUGAGGUAGUGGCUCACCAAGGCUUCGACGGGUAGCCGGCCUGAGAGGGCGACCGGCCACAUUGGGACUGAGAUACGGCCCAAACUUCUACGGGAGGCAGCAAUGGGGAAUAUUGCACAAUGGACGGAAGUCUGAUGCAGCAACGCCGCGUGCGGGAUGACGGCCUUCGGGUUGUAAACCGCUUUCAAUUGUGACGAAGCUUUUUUGUGACGGUAGCAGUAGAAGAAGCACCGGCUAACUACGUG